rnacentral:rRNA from 1 species
AUUGAACGCUGGCGGCAUGCUUUACACAUGCAAGUCGAACGGUAACAGGCCGCAAGGUGCUGACGAGUGGCGAACGGGUGAGUAAUGCAUCGGAACGUGCCCAGUCGUGGGGGAUAACUGCUCGAAUGAGCAGCUAAUACCGCAUACGAUCUAUGGAUGAAAGCGGGGGACCGGACGGCCUCGUGCGAUUGGAGCGGCCGAUGUCAGAUUAGGUAGUUGGUGGGGUAAAGGCGCACCAAGCCAACGAUCUGUAGCUGGUCUGAGAGGACGACCAGCCACACUGGGACUGAGACACGGCCGCGAAUCCUACGGGAGGCAGCAGUGGGGAAUUUUGGAAAAUGGGGGCAACCCUGCUCCAGCACUGCCGCGUGCAGGAAGAAGGCCUUCGGGUUGUAAACUGCUUUUGUACGGAACGAAACGGUCUGGGUUAAUACCCUGGGCUAAUGACGGUACCGUAAGAAUAAGCACCGGCUAACUACGUGCCAGCCGCCGCGGUAAAAC